CGGGGCGUAGUUCAGUUGGCUAGAACGUCCGGUUUGGGACCGGAAGGUCGUGAGUUCGAGUCUCGCCGCCCCGA
rnacentral:tRNA from 1 species